rnacentral:rRNA from 1 species
UACGAAGGGGGCUAGCGUUGCUCGGAAUCACUGGGCGUAAAGCGCACGUAGGCGGCUUUCUAAGUCAGGGGUGAAAUCCUGGAGCUCAACUCCAGAACUGCCUUUGAUACUGGAGAGCUUGAGUCCGGAAGAGGUGAGUGGAACUCCGAGUGUAGAGGUGAAAUUCGUAGAUAUUCGGAAGAACACCAGUGGCGAAGGCAGCUCACUGGUCCGGUACUGACGCUGAGGUGCGAAAGCGUGGGGAGCAAACAGG